GGCAUGCGGGUGCUACCAUGCAGUCGACGAUGAAGCGGUACUUGUACCGUGGAUUAGUGGCGAACGGGUGAGUAACACGUGAGCAACCUGCCUUUCACUUUGGGAUAACAGUGGGAAACUGCUGCUAAUACUGGAUAUGACCUUGGGACGCAUGUUUUGGGGUGGAAAGUUUUUCGGUGGAAGAUGGGCUCGCGGCCUAUCAGCUUGUUGGUGGGGUAAUGGCCUACCAAGGCUUCGACGGGUAGCCGGCCUGAGAGGGCGACCGGCCACACUGGGACUGAGACACGGCCCAGACUCCUACGGGAGGCAGCAGUGGGGAAUAUUGCACAAUGGGGGAAACCCUGAUGCAGCGACGCCGCGUGAGGGAUGACGGCCUUCGGGUUGUAAACCUCUUUCAGUAGGGAAGAAGCGAAAGUGACGGUACCUGCAGAAGAAGCGCCGGCUAACUACGUGCCAGCAGCCGCGGUAA
rnacentral:rRNA from 1 species